rnacentral:rRNA from 1 species
GACGUAGGGGGCGAGCGUUGUUCGGAAUUAUUGGGCGUAAAGAGCUUGUAGGCGGGAAAGUAAGUCUUUGAAUAAAGGCUAAGGCUCAACUUUAGUAAGUUCGGAGAUACUGCUUUUCUUGAGAACAGGAGAGGGGAGUGGAAUUCCUAGUGUAGCGGUGAAAUGCGUAGAUAUUAGGAGGAACACCAGUGGCGAAGGCGGCUCUCUGGCCUGUUUCUGACGCUGAGGAGCGAAAGCUGGGGGAGCGAACGGGAUUAGAUACCCCGGUAGUCCCAGCUGUAAACGAUGGACACUAGGUGUAGGAGGUAUCGACCCCUUCUGUGCCGCAGUUAACACAAUAAGUGUCCCGCCUGGGGAGUACGGCCGCAAGGCUAAA